GGGAAAAUCUUGCGACAGUGCAUCGUUGACACUUUUUCUUUUCAUUUUCGCUUUCAUCUGCUUCACAUCCACGACACUGUUUAAUCCUGGUGACCGAAGAUGCUUCUCGUAGAAUUCCUGAAAAUCUAAUUUAACAAAGAAAUAAAGGUACCGGAAGUAAGAAACAGAAGCUGCGAAAAUGGCGACAUUAGUGAGAAGAGUCCUGGGACAAUCCACUGUCAGACUUAAUAGCUUGAGCAUUAAUUUGGAUUCCAGAGAAACUCUAAAUGCAAGAUUUCGACAACUAAGGAAUUAUUCCUGCGAUAUGUGCAAAGCAAAAGAAUGCCCUCCAAUUACUGUGCGAUCUGCCCAACUAUCCGAUUUUGAUAACAUAGUGAGUUUUAUGAAGGAAAAUUUCCUAAAGCAUGAUCCAGCAUGUACUUAUCUGUCUAUUCCUGAUCCACCACAUCAUGCUCUUCUGAAUCACUUUUAUGAAAAUUUGAAAGACGGAAUGGCACUUCUUGCUGUAGAAGAAAAUCACUGCAUUGUGGGAGUAGUUAUAAACACUGCUGUAAGCCAUUGGUCUGCGAAUAAGACUAUCCAAUUUGCAGAUUCAUGCUUAAACCGUCCUGAAAAAGACCUUCUCAAGUUUUACGCUCAUAUCGCCGAGGGACCAAAUAUUUGGGAGAAAUAUUGUGUGGCAAAAGUUUUCGAUUGCACUUACCUGGCGGUCAAGCCUGAAUGGCAGGGUAAGGGUAUCGCCAAAAGACUCAUUGAAGAGAGCUGGUAUCUGGCUAGGGAUUGUGCAUUUGAUAUUUUUCGCUUUGACUGCACCAGCUGUUACAGUGCAAAAAUUGCGAAAAACUUCGGCUGGGAGUGUAUAUACUCAUUGUUCUACAAUCGAUAUGUCGUUAAUAAAGAGACAAUAUUCAAAAACGUGAAAGAGCCUCACACAGAAGUCAAAGUUUUUAUCGAUCUGCCCAAAUUCUAUGAAGAUGACAGUCUACAUUACGGUGAAGAUUGCGAUAAAAGAAAAAAGAACAAAUAAAAAUAAUGAAUUUUAAAUACGGCAAUGAAUAAUGAGAUUAAUAUAAUAGGCUCUUUGUUCUUGCAAUCAUCGAAU